GAAAUGCGAUACUUGGUGUGAAUUGCAGAAUCCCGUGAACCAUCGAGUCUUUGAACGCAAGUUGCGCCCGAAGCCAUUACGCUAAGGGCACGUCUGCCUGGGCGUCACGU
rnacentral:rRNA from 1 species